AUGUACGCCGCCGACCCGAUGUCCAAGUUCAAGGGGGCGCUUGCCAUGAGCGUCCCCGGGGAGCUCGCGGGCCUCCAUGCCGCGUGGUCGAGCUACGGGCGUCUGCCGUGGAAGUCCCUCUUCGUGCCGGCGAUCAAGCUCGCGCGCGACGGCUACACCGUCGUGCCCUAUGUCGCCAACGCGCUCAAGGCAGUGGAGGCCAACGUGCUGGCCGACCCCGGCCUGCGUGCCGUGUUCGCGCCGGAGGGGCAGGUCCUGGUCGCGGGUGCACUCUGCCGCAACCCGGCGCUCGCGGACACCUGGACGCCGUGGCGGAGCACGGCAUCUCGGUGCUCUACGGUGGCGCCGUCGGGGAGAGGCUCGUGGAGGACGGUGGAGGUCAGCGCCGCCUUGCGUGCCGACGCCAUGGGGUUCACCUUCCUUGGCAUGCCGCCGCCGUCCAGCGGCACCGUCGGCAUGGCACUGGUGUUGAACAUCUUGGGUGGUUACAAGUCGGCGGAGUUUCUGAGAGGAUUUCUGGGCGUGCACCGGCUGGUCGAGGCGGUUAAGCACAUGCUGGCCGUCCGGAUGGACCUCGGCGACCCCGGCUUCGUCAACGCCGCUGGGAUCGUCUCGGAGAUGCUGUCGCCGGCAUUCGCUGAUAAGGUCCGGCAAAGGAUCGCCGACAACACCACUUUCCCUCCGGCCUACUACCUCCCAAAGUGGAGCCAGCUGCGCGACAAUGGCACGAGCCACCUGUGCGUGGUGGACGGCGACCGGAAUGCGGUGGCGAUGACGACGACGGUGAACUACUACUUCGGCGCACAGGUCCUCUCGCCGUCCACCGGCAUCGUCCUCAACAACGAGAUGGACGACUUUUCGAUGCCGUCAUCGUACCCGACCCCCGACCACCUCCCACCUCCCACCGGCGCCGGCCAACUUCAUCGCGGGGGGAAAGCGGCCGCUCUCAUCGAUGACACCGACGAUCAUCCUCAAGGAUGGGCAGCUGGCUGGCGUGGUGGGCGCAAGCGGCGGCACCAACAUCAUUGCGGCGGUGACACAGGUGUUCCUGAACCACUUCGUCCUGGGGAUGAGCCCUCUGGUUGCCGUGCAGAGCCCAAGGGUGUACCACAGUCUCGUGCCGAAUGUUGUGCGGUACGAGGACGAGACAGUGGUCGAUGGCGUGGUCAUCGAGCUCAAAGCAGAGGCGAGAGAGUUUUUGCGGCGGAGGGGUCAUGUGCUCAAGGGCACUGUGUGGUCAGCCGUGUGCCAGAUGAUAGUGCAAGACUUGCAGGCGCCAGUGUCAAGCGGCAGCGAGAACGUGUUCCACGGGAUGCUGACGGCCGUGAGCGAUCCAAGGAAAGACGGUAG
rnacentral:rRNA from 1 species